rnacentral:misc_RNA from 1 species
CCUGGCUUUAAAUAUGUGCCCAACUGAAUUCUCUCUGUGUUUACUGAUUUGAAACCUCCUGGUGGUCUAUGAAGUGGUAGAGAGAAGCAGCCUUCUGAAUAGUCAUAUUGUUGUCGAAUAUUACAUCUAAGGUGGAAACAGAGCAUCAUGGUUGAAGCAUCCUCUGGCUCAGUAAUGUCUGCUGCAAUCAUCUAUCCCCAAAAUCCCAAUUAUAGAUUUCUG